rnacentral:rRNA from 1 species
UUGAACGCUGGCGGCAGGCCUAACACGUGCAAGUCGAGCGCGAAAGGUUUUCGGACUGAGUAAAGCGGCGGACGGGUGAGUAACGCGUGGGAAUCUGCCCAGUAGUGGGGGACAACAGUUGGAAACGACUGCUAAUACCGCAUACGCCCUACGGGGGAAAGGGGGGGAUCUUCGGACCUCUCGCUAUUGGAUGAGCCCGCGUCGGAUUAGCUAGUUGGUAGGGUAAAGGCCUACCAAGGCUACGAUCCGUAACUGGUCUGAGAGGAUGAUCAGUCACACUGGAACUGAGACACGGUCCAGACUCCUACGGGAGACAGCAGUGGGGAAUAUUGGACAAUGGGGGCAACCCUGAUCCAGCCAUGCCGCGUGUGUGAAGAAGGCCUUAGGGUUGUAAAGCACUUUCAGUGGGGAGAAAGGUUUGUCACCUAAUACGUGAUGAAAUUGAUGUUACCCACAGAAGAAGCACCGGCUAACUCCGUGCCAGCCGCCGCAGUAACAC